rnacentral:lncRNA from 1 species
CAGGUAUGAGUUGGAUGCAAAGGCCUCUGAAGACCUUUCCAAUCCUGAAAUCUGUGAAGUAUAAAAAGAUUCCUUGGUUAGUAGAAACUGAGGGUUGCAACAGUACAAGUUUUUGGUAGAUCUAAACUUAGCUAUAAAAUAGUGUAGUGUAUACCCCUCCCUGGCCUUGAAGACAGUUGGAAAGUCUGGAAGUGGAGUGAAUUGAGAUGGGCAAUUGCUACCUGAAAAGUAACUCUUCAAAAAUGGAUGGGUUUUGCCCAGAGCCCAGUGAGGAAAAUAACCAUAAAGAACAGACUGGCCAAAAGCGGCGUUCUUCAAUUUUGAAACCCCCACGGAGUCCUCUUCAAGACAUAAGAAGUGGAAAUGAAAUUGGUCAGGUGGGUCUCCAAUGGUAAUGGUUUUAUAAAUUACCAUGCCUCAUUUUAAUAAUUGCAAAAUGUCA